rnacentral:rRNA from 1 species
GCACUUGAGGGCUGGCGUCUGCACCACAUGGACGUAAAGUCCGCAUUCUUGAACGGAGAGCUGCAGGAGGAGGUGUUCGUGCGACAACCCCCUGGUUAUGAAGAAGACGACAAUGAGCACAAAGUUUUGAAGCUGAACAAGGCAUUGUAUGGACUUCGUCAGGCGCCGACAGCAUGGUAUGCCAAGUUGCACGCCACUCUGCUCACGCUCGGGUUCGAGAGAUGUCCUCUUGAGCACGUGGUGUACAUGAGAAGCAAAGGUGGCUCGCGGCUGCUCGUAGGCGUUUAUGUCGAUGACUUGGUGAUCACUGGUGCAAGCCAAGUGGAGAUUGACAGCUUCAAGGAGCAGAUGAAAAAUCUGUUCAAAAUG